ensembl:snRNA U1 U1 spliceosomal RNA
AGACUUACCUGGAAAGGAAGAAAACAGGAUCAUAAAGGUGGGUUUUCUAGGUCAAGGCUUAUGCGUUAUACUCCAAAGGUGCUAACCCUGCAGUUUUCCCAAAUGUGGGAAACUCGAAUGAAUAAUUUGUGAUAGUAGGGGACUACAUUCACGGUCUCUUC